ensembl:lncRNA
CUGUCGAUGAGGCUGUAGAGGAGCUCCUUCCCACUGCAGCACUCAGAGAUCAGCACCAGGUAGCGGGGUGUGACGUAGGCCUCGUGCAGUGCCAUGAUCUUGUCAUGGUGGAGAGACUUAAGGAUGUCGUACUCCUGCAGCACCGUCUGUUUAUUGUCGGCCUCAUAGGGUACGAUCUUAGCCAUAAACAGGUUGCCGGUGGCAUUCUCUCUACACUCUCGGAUCACGCCGAAGCGACCCCUUUGAGGCAAACAAAGAGACCGUGACCUUGAAGUGAAACCUAAUUAAAGCUUGCAGGUAUUUAGAAAAUUACCUUUAAAUGCCUUCACCUUUAUGUUAUAAACGUCUGACACACAGAACUAGAGCAAAAUCUAUAAUUUAAAAAGCCCAUUAAAAUGAUUGAUAAUGAUAAAAAGAUUAUAAUAACAUACUAUAUUAUUAUAUUCCACAGUUAUGGGAAACCUACGGAAGCCCUGAAGCCCAUGCAGUAAAAUAACAAACGUAGUCUCUGGGCCCACAUUAUCUCGUUUGAGCGAAUUAUGAGACAAUCCUGUUUUGUAUAACAUACAAUGUUUUAUAAUUUCAGCAAAAUGUCAUGGCACACUUGAUGCGUCCUCACCUUAUGCCAACAUGCUAUUGUUCAGCCAAUUGCUCACUGUUCUGUAUUAAUGCUCUGGAGUUCAUAGGUUUCCUUGCUUUAAGGUUUCAAAUAACUAUAAAUGAACAAUAAUAUAGACCAACCAAUGGAUGGAAUCAAAGAACGAUGGGCUGUAACAAACAUUACAUGGCCUUGUAAUGCUGCUGCAUAAUGAAUUUGGCCUAAUUAGACAUACUAAUGAUCAUCUUGUUUCAAUGACUUAGCAAAAAUAAAUAAGUAGUAAAAAAACAAUGUACACUUAUAUUUCCAUAUUUCUUUUUACUAAGUCCUUCAAACGAGAUAAGUUGUUCAAACGAGAUACUAAGUCGUUCAAACAAGAUAAACUUAGUCUCUGGGCCCAACAUUUUUUUUUACAGCUUGGGCUUCAGGGCUUCCGUGAAAACCUUAUGGGUCUUAAAUGGAACAACUACAUAUUUACUGUUUUCUCAACAUUCAUAAUAAAACAUUAUAAUAUUAUACAGCAUAGUGGUGCAAAGAAAAAUUUAGGAGGAUGUUUGCAUUAAUUACAUGUUACUUUACAGUGGUAAGAAUUACACAGUGCUAGCAUUGUGGACACGACAUCCUGUACCUGGCCUUCUCCUCCAUGAAGGUGUAUGGUUUCUGGGGCACUCCCUGGCGCAGGGAUCCCUCACCAGGACGUCCGCCCAAGGGUGUCCUGCGUCCUGAUGGGGUGGAACGUCCGUAGGAGGUUGUCUGCCCAGAUGGAGUCAGACGUGCGGGCGUAACCCCCCCCUCUCCUACCGGACUUGUGCUGGACACCAGCACCACCGGGGGUGAGAUGACAGGGGACAGAGAGGUAGGCGUGACGGCAUCCGAUACAGGCGUAUACAUGGGUACCGACGAAAUCGGUUUGCCGAUAGGGGGGGGGGGGGACCACCACCGGGGGCGGGACCUUAAUCAUGGGUGAGACAAUAUUGAUGGGACUCUGGGGUUUGGGGUGAACGGCUGGGGGAGCAGGCUUGGUUACAGUUGCCGGUGGAGAUGGUGUCGGUUUCUUGACACUGAUGUUGAUGGUGGUCUUGGCUUUAGUCGGGGUUGGAGCGGACUGAGGUAGAGGUGGGCUUUGCGUCUCGGAAGUGGAUUGAGUGGACGAGGCUGCACUAACGACAAUGGGCGCGGAGCUGGUGCUGGUUAGGAUCUGAGGGACUGAAGGCUUGGAUUCAACAGGUUUAGAAGCAGGGCUUGAUGAAGCGAUCAACUUGGCCACUGGAACAGGAGGAGAGGGAGCAGACACUUGGGGGGUUGGGGUCUGCGUGAGUGGGGCAGAAGAUGAGCCCUGUGGUGGCACUUUACUAGGUGCAGGCUUCAUGGAGGGGAUGAUCAUCGAUGAUGUUUUGACCGCUGGUGCUACAGGGACCGUCUUGACAACAACUGAUUUGCUAGAGUUUGCUGGCGCUGGGGAUUC